rnacentral:rRNA from 1 species
UACGGAGGGGACUAGCGUUGUUCGGAAUUACUGGGCGUAAAGCGCACGUAGGCGGAUCGGACAGUCAGAGGUGAAAUCCCGGGGCUCAACCCCGGAACUGCCUUUGAAACUCCCGGUCUUGAGUUCGAGAGAGGUGAGUGGAAUUCCGAGUGUAGAGGUGAAAUUCGUAGAUAUUCGGAGGAACACCAGUGGCGAAGGCGGCUCACUGGCUCGAUACUGACGCUGAGGUGCGAAAGCGUGGGGAGCAAACAGG